rnacentral:rRNA from 5 species
GGUUGACCUCGGAUCAGGUAGGAAUACCCGC